GUUGAGCAGCCAGGAGGUUGAGUUUCUGUUUAGAUAUUCUCUAUCCUGUGGCUUUCCUUGUGAUCCAACCUGUUCCUGUGUAUCCUGUGGACUGUCUGAGAUAUUCCUGCAGAGCUUCUUGAGACACCUAAGCCAUCUAUAAUUGGCAUUGGGGAGAGUUUAUCUGUUCCAGAUGAAUUCACCAAAGAGGACAAAGUCACUGGCCAGAGGUUUAGACAGGUGUUGACUGGAGCAAUUGUACAACUCCUUGAGAAUGCCUGAAGAUCAUAAUGCAGGUGAGUUCAUGGUUCACUGUUUGCUGCUUUACAAAGGAAUCAUUUCAGAUUUAUUUGCACUAUUCCUGCCAGGAGAAACAUGGAGAGUUCCAACUAGGUCUUCACAGAGGUCAUGACAAUUCAUAUUAAUCAUAAAUGAUCAGCAGAGCUAAGUCAAAGGCUAUUUGAAAUGAAUCUUGAAGACAAGCUAGGUAAGGCAUCAGCUUCUGUCCUCUUCCAGAGGAGUUAUAACUGGGCUACAUCUAAUGAUUUUGGCAAUUUGUCUGAUACCCUUCUGAUCAAUUGCUUUUUGCAGCUUGCUGAAAGAAAGGGUUUCAUACACAGGGACUUUUUGCUAUUCUACAGCAGUGUUCUGGGAGAUUUUGUCCCUGCAAUGACCAGGAGCUCUUCUUUGAGCUCAAACUUUACCAUCAUCAAAAAUGAAUCUCAAGAGUGACUUUGAGAAUAUGUUGAAGGAAGCAGGAACCUUUUCCCUUUUAGGAAUGUAAUUAAAAUUGUAUCUGAGACAUAAUUAAAUUCAGUCCACAUGAAAAGGUACUUACUAUA